rnacentral:rRNA from 1 species
AACGAACGCUGGCGGCAUGCCUAACACAUGCAAGUCGAACGAGAUCUUCGGGUCUAGUGGCGCACGGGUGCGUAACGCGCGGGAAUCUGCCCUUUGGUUCGGAAUAACAGUUGGAAACGACUGCUAAUACCGGAUGAUGACGAAAGUCCAAAGAUUUAUCGCCAGAGGAUGGGCCCGCGUAGGAUUAGCUAGUUGGGGUGGUAAAGGCGCACCAAGGCGACGAUCCUUAGCUGGUCUGAGAGGAUGAUCAGCCACACUGGGACUGAGACACGGCCCAGACUCCUACGGGAGGCAGCAGUGGGGAAUAUCGGACAAUGGGCGAAAGCCUGAUCCAGCAAUGCCGCGUGAGUGAUGAAGGCCUUAGGGUUGUAAAGCUCUUUUACCCGGGAUGAUAAUGACAGUACCGGGAGAAUAAGCUCCGGCUAACUCCGUGCCAGCCGCCGCAGUAA